rnacentral:rRNA from 1 species
GUGACUGCGUACCUUUUGUAUAAUGGGUCAGCGACUUAUAUUCUGUAGCAAGGUUAACCGAAUAGGGGAGCCGAAGGGAAACCGAGUCUUAACUGGGCGUUAAGUUGCAGGGUAUAGACCCGAAACCCGGUGAUCUAGCCAUGGGCAGGUUGAAGGUUGGGUAACACUAACUGGAGGACCGAACCGACUAAUGUUGAAAAAUUAGCGGAUGACUUGUGGCUGGGGGUGAAAGGCCAAUCAAACCGGGAGAUAGCUGGUUCUCCCCGAAAGCUAUUUAGGUAGCGCCUCGUGAAUUCAUCUCCGGGGGUAGAGCACUGUUUCGGCAAGGGGGUCAUCCCGACUUACCAACCCGAUGCAAACUGCGAAUACCGGAGAAUGUUAUCACGGGAGACACACGGCGGGUGCUAACGUCCGUCGUGAAGAGGGAAACAACCCAGACCGCCAGCUAAGGUCCCAAAGUCAUGGUUAAGUGGGAAACGAUGUGGGAAGGCCCAGACAGCCAGGAUGUUGGCUUAGAAGCAGCCAUCAUUUAAAGAAAGCGUAAUAGCUCACUGGUCGAGUCGGCCUGCGCGGAAGAUGUAACGGGGCUAAACCAUGCACCGAAGCUGCGGCAGCGACGCUUAUGCGUUGUUGGGUAGGGGAGCGUUCUGUAAGCCUGUGAAGGUGUGCUGUGAGGCAUGCUGGAGGUAUCAGAAGUGCGAAUGCUGACAUAAGUAACGAUAAAGCGGGUGAAAAGCCCGCUCGCCGGAAGACCAAGGGUUCCUGUCCAACGUUAAUCGGGGCAGGGUGAGUCGACCCCUAAGGCGAGGCCGAAAGGCGUAGUCGAUGGGAAACAGGUUAAUAUUCCUGUACUUGGUGUUACUGCGAAGGGGGGACGGAGAAGGCUAUGUUGGCCGGGCGACGGUUGUCCCGGUUUAAGCGUGUAGGCUGGUUUUCCAGGCAAAUCCGGAAAAUCAAGGCUGAGGCGUGAUGACGAGGCACUACGGUGCUGAAGCAACAAAUGCCCUGCUUCCAGGAAAAGCCUCUAAGCAUCAGGUAACAUCAAAUCGUACCCCAAACCGACACAGGUGGUCAGGUAGAGAAUACCAAGGCGCUUGAGAGAACUCGGGUGAAGGAACUAGGCAAAAUGGUGCCGUAACUUCGGGAGAAGGCACGCUGAUAUGUAGGUGAAGUCCCUUGCGGAUGGAGCUGAAAUCAGUCGAAGAUACCAGCUGGCUGCAACUGUUUAUUAAAAACACAGCACUGUGCAAACACGAAAGUGGACGUAUACGGUGUGACGCCUGCCCGGUGCCGGAAGGUUAAUUGAUGGGGUCAGCGCAAGCGAAGCUCUUGAUCGAAGCCCCGGUAAACGGCGGCCGUAACUAUAACGGUCCUAAGGUAGCGAAAUUCCUUGUCGGGUAAGUUCCGACCUGCACGAAUGGCGUAAUGAUGGCCAGGCUGUCUCCACCCGAGACUCAGUGAAAUUGAACUCGCUGUGAAGAUGCAGUGUACCCGCGGCAAGACGGAAAGACCCCGUGAACCUUUACUAUAGCUUGACACUGAACAUUGAGCCUUGAUGUGUAGGAUAGGUGGGAGGCUUUGAAGUGUGGACGCCAGUCUGCAUGGAGCCGACCUUGAAAUACCACCCUUUAAUGUUUGAUGUUCUAACGUUGACCCGUAAUCCGGGUUGCGGACAGUGUCUGGUGGGUAGUUUGACUGGGGCGGUCUCCUCCUAAAGAGUAACGGAGGAGCACGAAGGUUGGCUAAUCCUGGUCGGACAUCAGGAGGUUAGUGCAAUGGCAUAAGCCAGCUUGACUGCGAGCGUGACGGCGCGAGCAGGUGCGAAAGCAGGUCAUAGUGAUCCGGUGGUUCUGAAUGGAAGGGCCAUCGCUCAACGGAUAAAAGGUACUCCGGGGAUAACAGGCUGAUACCGCCCAAGAGUUCAUAUCGACGGCGGUGUUUGGCACCUCGAUGUCGGCUCAUCACAUCCUGGGGCUGAAGUAGGUCCCAAGGGUAUGGCUGUUCGCCAUUUAAAGUGGUACGCGAGCUGGGUUUAGAACGUCGUGAGACAGUUCGGUCCCUAUCUGCCGUGGGCGCUGGAGAACUGAGGGGGGCUGCUCCUAGUACGAGAGGACCGGAGUGGACGCAUCACUGGUGUUCGGGUUGUCAUGCCAAUGGCACUGCCCGGUAGCUAAAUGCGGAAGAGAUAAGUGCUGAAAGCAUCUAAGCACGAAACUUGCCCCGAGAUGAGUUCUCCCUGACCCUUUAAGGGUCCUGAAGGAACGUUGAAGACGACGACGUUGAUAGGCCGGGUGUGUAAGCGCAGCGAUGCGUUGAGCUAACCGGUACUAAUGAACCGUGAGGCUUAACCUUACAACGCCGAAGGUGUUU